UACGAAGGGUGCAAGCGUUACUCGGAAUUACUGGGCGUAAAGGGUGCGUAGGUGGUCGUUUAAGUCCGUUGUGAAAGCCCCGGGCUUAACCUGGGAAUGGCCGUUGAAACUGGCGAACUGGAGUGUGGCAGAGGGGGGUGGAAUUCCGCGUGUAGCAGUGAAAUGCGUAGAGAUGCGGAGGAACACCGAUGGCGAAGGCAGCCCCCUGGGCUAACACUGACGCUCAGGCACGAAAGCGUGGGGAGCAAACAGG
rnacentral:rRNA from 1 species